rnacentral:tRNA from 1 species
CUUAAGGACCACCUUGAUAGCGUGGCUAAUAGGGGUUCAAGUCCCCUCAAUUCUA